UAUGCAAAGUACCCUAGAUUAGUGGCUUAGUGCCUACCACAGAUAUUGAGAUAUAUAAAAAUUUUUGAUUUUACAUUCGUAUUUGUAUUUAAGUUUCAACUGUAAAUUGUUUUCAUAUAUUUUAUAAUAAGAAUGAAGUUUGUCUGUUAGCUUUUGAUUGAUUGUUUCCAUCUCUGAAUUAUUCAGUGUUGUCCACGUACUAGUUGUCAUAUAAAGAUUUUAGUUCCGAUUAUGGUGACCUAAGAAAACGCAAAUAAAAAUUGAAAAUUUUGAAAAAUGAAAAUGCUUGUUUACAUGCUUCUUUCAGGGAAAACCAUGAGAGAAAGGACGUAAGUCGUAAAACAUAAAAUUGAUCCCCGUAACUAGCUACAUAAAUCUUAUGCUUUUGAUUUUUCAAAAAACUAGAUUUUUAAAAUGUCGUACUUAGGUCAACUCAGUUUGAAAUAACAAGAUUUUGGAGAUUGAAAAACUGAUUUUAGUGUAGAAUUAUUUGUGGAACAUUUUAACCUAAUACAUUUUCGUUGAUCCACCAGGUGCUUAAGAAAAUGUGAAUGAAAAUUGAAAAUUUUAAAGUAUUGAAAACCUUGUUUAUAAGUUGUAUUUGUUAGUAGACAUUUGAUAGAAACUUAGGAAUUCCUUUAUGGUACUUAACAAAAAUUAUUAUCUAACAAUGUAACAAAAAAAAAAAAAAAAAACAUAUUUUAUUAUGUUACUCAGUCAAUCUUUAUAAGAGAAACUUUUAAAGUGA